UGGUGGUAAUGAUAACAGCUAGCUGUUUAGCUUAAUGGUAAAGCACUCAGCUGGAGUUUUGGGGGAUGUGGGGUCAAGUCACAUGGCUGUUUGUUGACAAAUUCUUCCGCUUUGUAAGGGUAAUUUACUCCUUAUUUCUGCUGUUCUAACGGAAAUACUGCAUUCG